rnacentral:tRNA from 1 species
UGUGGUUCAGUUGUAGAAUGCUUGCCUGGCAUGCAUGAGGCACUGGGUUUGAUUCUCAGCA